UGGGGAAUAUUGCACAAUGGGCGCAAGCCUGAUGCAGCCAUGCCGCGUGUGUGAAGAAGCCUUCGGGUUGUAAAGCACUUUCAGCGAGGAGGAAGGUGGUGAACUUAAUACGUUCAUCAAUUGACGUUACUCGCAGAAGAAGCACCGGCUAACUCCGUGCCAGCAGCCGCGGUAAUACGGAGGGUGCAAGCGUUAAUCGGAAUUACUGGGCGUAAAGCGCACGCAGGCGGUUUGUUAAGUCAGAUGUGAAAUCCCCCGGGCUCAACCUGGGAACUGCAUUUGAAACUGGCAAGCUAGAGUCUCGUAGAGGGGGGUAGAAUUCCAGGUGUAGCGGUGAAAUGCGUAGAGAUCUGGAGGAAUACCGGUGGCGAAGGCGGCCCCCCUGGACGAAGACUGACGCUCAGGUGCGAAAGCGUGGGGAGCAAACAGAUUAGAUACCCUGGUAGUCCACGCUGUAAACGAUGUCGAUUUGGAGGUUGUG
rnacentral:rRNA from 1 species